ACCGAUAGUGAACCAGUACCGUGAGGGAAAGGCGAAAAGAACCCCGGAGAGGGGAGUGAAAUAGAACCUGAAACCGUGUGCGUACAAGCAGUCAGAGCCCCGCAAGGGGUGAUGGCGUACCUUUUGUAUAAUGGGUCAGCGAGUUACUUUCAGUGGCGAGGCUAACCGUCUAGGGGAGCCGUAGGGAAACCGAGUCUUAACAGGGCGAUCAGUCGCUGGGAGUAGACCCGAAACCGCUCGAUCUAUCCAUGGCCAGGCUGAAAGUGAGGUAAUACUCACUGGAGGGCCGAACCAACCACUGUUGCAAAAGUGGUGGAUGAGCUGUGGAUCGGAGUGAAAGGCUAAUCAAGAGUGGAGAUAGCUGGUUCUCCCCGAAAGCUAUUGAGGUAGCGCCUCGUGAAUUCACCCUCGGGGGUAGAGCACUGUUACGGCUAGGGUUCCGUCUAGGGAUACCAAACCGUUGCAAACUCCGAAUACCGAGGAGUGUUAUCACGGGAGACACACGGCGGGUGCUAACAUCCGUCGUGAAGAGGGAUACAACCCAGACCGCCAGCUAAGGUCCCAAAAUUACAGCUCAGUGGUGAACGAUGUGGGAAGUCUUAAACAGCCAGGAUGUUGGCUUAGAAGCAGCCAUCAUUUAAAGAAAGCGUAAUAGCUCACUGGUCGAGUCGGCCCGCGCGGAAGAUUUAACGGGGCUCAAGCUGUAUACCGAAGCUGCGGAUGUGUAAGGUCUUCGGAUCUUAUACGUGGUAGGGGAGCGUUCUGUACGCCUGCGAAGGUGACGCGAAAGCGUUGCUGGAGGUAUCAGAAGUGCGAAUGCUGACAUGAGUAGCGUUAAAACGGGUGAAAAACCCGUUCGCCGUAAGCCCAAGGUUUCCUGCGCAACGUUAAUCGGCGCAGGGUGAGUCGGUCCCUAAGACGAGGUCGAAAGACGUAGCCGAUGGGAAGCAGGUUAAUAUUCCUGCACCGACCGUGACUGCGAUGAGGGGACGGAGAAGGUUAAAUCGGCCGGGUGUUGGUUGUCCCGGUUUAAGCGUGUAGGUGUGCUCUCUAGGCAAAUCCGGAGGGCUUAACUGAGACGUGACGACGAGGUCUUCCCUCGGGAAGACCGAAGUGAUUGAUACCAUGCUUCCAGGAAAAGCCUCUAAGCUUCAGGUCACGGGCGACCGUACCGUAAACCGACACUGGUGGGCGAGAUGAAAAUUCUUAGGCGCUUGAGAGAACUCGGGUUAAGGAACUCGGCAAAUUGACACCGUAACUUCGGAAGAAGGUGUGCCUCUGUUAGGUGAAGGGCCUGCGCCCGGAGCCGAGAGAGGUCGCAGAGAAACGGUAGCUGCAACUGUUUAUCAAAAACACAGCACUCUGCAAACUCGAAAGAGGAAGUAUAGGGUGUGACGCCUGCCCGGUGCCGGAAGGUUAAUUGAUGGGGUCAGCCGCAAGGCGAAGCUCUUGAUCGAAGCCCCGGUGAACGGCGGCCGUAACUAUAACGGUCCUAAGGUUAACAAUCGCUAGCCUUAGUAAAACCGAACCAUAUGCGGGAAACUCCUCCAAAACCGAUCGAUACUCGUCGCGGGAUGCGGCAGUAAAAAUUCGACGGACACGGGGACAAUCCGCAGGGAAGACCUGCUUGCCGCAGGAACCCUCAGAGACUUUACGUUCGGGAGUGUCCAAUGAAGCUUGAUGCCCUGUGGAUCACAGGCUUUGUGGACGGUGAAGGUUGUUUCCACGUGGGGAUCAAUUCACACGCAGAAAUGACCGCCGGUUUUCAAGUACUACCGGAAUUCACCGUUGUGCAACACAAGCGCGAUGUGCAAGUCCUUCAUGCUUUGAAAAGUUACUUCGGUUGCGGAGUGGUGAGAGUGAACCACGGCGAUCGGAUGGCGUAUCGAGUAAGAGGGCAAAAAGAUCUGUACGAGCGCAUCGUUCCAUUCUUCAUCAAGCACCCGCUGAAAACAAAAAAGAACGUGGACUUCAUCAAGUUCCGCCGCGUUCUGGAUUUGAUGCAAGCGGGAGUUCAUUUGAAAGCGGAAGGCAUCGAAGAGAUUCGAUCCAUCGCGAGCCAAAUGAACAGAGGAUGUUCAAGAUAAAGUCCGACUUUUCUGGAAACAGAUAAGAGCAAUCGAGCGAAAUUCCUUGUCGGGUAAGUUCCGACCUGCACGAAUGGCGUAAUGAUGGCUACACUGUCUCGACCCG
rnacentral:rRNA from 1 species